UACGUAGGGGGCAAGCGUUGUCCGGAUUUAUUGGGCGUAAAGAGCGUGUAGGCGGCCAGGUAGGUCUGCUGUGAAAACUCGAGGCUUAACCUCGAGACGUCGGCGGAAACUAUCUGGCUAGAGUCCGGAAGAGGAGAGUGGAAUUCCUGGUGUAGCGGUGAAAUGCGCAGAUAUCAGGAAGAACACCCGUGGCGAAGGCGGCUCUCUGGGACGGUACUGACGCUGAGACGCGAAAGCGUGGGGAGCGAACAGG
rnacentral:rRNA from 1 species